UACGAAGGGGGCGAGCGUUGUUCGGAUUUACUGGGCGUAAAGGGCGCGUAGGCGGCCCUCCUUGUCGCGUGUGAAAGCCCCGGGCUCAACCUGGGAAUUGCGCGCGAAACGGGGGGGCUUGAGUUCGGGAGAGGAGCGUGGAAUUCCCAGUGUAGAGGUGAAAUUCGUAGAUAUUCGCAAGAACACCAGUGGCGAAGGCGGCUCACUGGCCCGGUACUGACGCUGAGGUGCGAAAGCGUGGGGAGCAAACAGG
rnacentral:rRNA from 1 species